AACGAACGCUGGCGGCAGGCCUAACACAUGCAAGUCGAGCGAGGACUUCGGUUCUAGCGGCGGACGGGUGAGUAACGCGUGGGAAUGUGCCCUUCUCUACGGAAUAGCCCUGGGAAACUGGGAGUAAUACCGUAUACGCCCUAUUGGGGAAAGAUUUAUCGGAGAAGGAUCAGCCCGCGUUGGAUUAGGUAGUUGGUGGGGUAAUGGCCUACCAAGCCGACGAUCCAUAGCUGGUUUGAGAGGAUGAACAGCCACACUGGGACUGAGACACGGCCCAGACUCCUACGGGAGGCAGCAGUGGGGAAUCUUAGACAAUGGGGGCAACCCUGAUCUAGCCAUGCCGCGUGAGUGAUGAAGGCCUUAGGGUUGUAAAGCUCUUUCAGCUGGGAAGAUAAUGACGGUACCAGCAGAAGAAGCCCCGGCUAACUCCGUG
rnacentral:rRNA from 1 species